rnacentral:rRNA from 1 species
GAUGAACGCUAGCGGCAGGCUUAACACAUGCAAGUCGAGGGGCAGCGAGGGUAGCAAUACCUGUCGGCGACCGGCAAACGGGUGCGGAACACGUACAGAACCUACCUUGAUCUGGGGCAUAGCCCGGAGAAAUCCGGAUUAACUCCCCAUAAUAUAUUUGAGAGGCAUCUUUUGGAUAUUAAAAAUUUAUUGGAUCAAGAUGGCUGUGCGUCCCAUUAGCUAGUUGGUAGGGUAACGGCCUACCAAGGCAACGAUGGGUAGCUGGUGUGAGAGCACGACCAGCCACACGGGCACUGAGACACGGGCCCGACUCCUACGGGAGGCAGCAGUGAGGAAUAUUGGUCAAUGGACGCAAGUCUGAACCAGCCAUGCCGCGUGAAGGAUGAAGGCCUUCUGGGUUGUAAACUUCUUUUACCUGGGAAGAAAGUAUGGUUUCUACUAUACCCGACGGUACCAGAGGAAUAAGCACCGGCUAACUCCGUGCCAGCAGCCGCGGU